AAGGCUUUCGCCCAAUCCCCGCGUGCGCUCCGCUCCCAAUCCUGGUCGCAGGGUUGGCCACACCUCUCCUUCCUCCCUCGCUCGACAGCGCCGCACCCCCUCCCUCCUUGCUGCUCGUCCGGAUAGCCGCCGGUCGCCGCAUCCCUUCUCCCCCUUCCUCCUCCUUCCUCCUUCCCGCUGGCGCCAACAAGGGGGCCUCCUGCAUGGACGGCCAGGUCUUCGAACCGGGGGUAGAGGAGCAGGGGAGGGCCAAGAAGCCGGCGGUGGGGGUGGAGAAGCCAGGAGGGCCAAGAAGCCAGCGGUGGGUGUGGAGCAACUAGGAGGGCCAAGAAGCCGGCGGUGGGGGUAGAGGAGCAGAGGAGGGCCAAGAAAGCCGGCCGGGAGCACACCACCGUAGGCGUCAAGGGAGCCGUGGACAAGCCGUCAGGAGGAGAAAGCUCCCAGUUUGAGGAGGAGACUACGGCACAGGUUGUGUUUUGAAAUCUAGAUUGAUUUGGUACUGUAUGUGGUGUGGUGUGCCCUUGCCAGGAAUAUCUAAUGUGUGUCAUGACACAAUCAAUUGUAGAGCUGGGAAGCAUGAUGCUCGAUUAGUAGACUGCCGCUUGAGAAGAAGCUUGUCAUAUGUCUCUUCGAGCCGCGGCAGCUAGGGGCCUUCGAAGAACACGGGGUUUGACAUAGCCAUUGAGCAAGUGCAGGAUACAAACCAGAUGUAAACAAAGAGGAUAUGGAUUCAGUACGGCCACGAGUGAAGGAAUGCUGUUCCAAUUUGGAUCUUGGAGAAUGUUUUCUCACUGUGGUUCAGGUUAAACUGUUGUUCUACUGUUCCUACUCAGCCUCCUAAUGUUCUAUGUCUUGAUGCGCCUUCUUCCAGCUUCUCUAUUGGUUUUCUCUUCACACUUAUGUUUGAAUUGAUGGCUAGAAAUACAGAGUGCCAUUUUUUCUUAUGGAGUGAUAAUUAAGAAGACAUACAUAGCUGCAAAGGGAUUGCUCAAAUGAAACAAGUUGCUAAUUUUGUAUCUUUGACACUCAUGGAAAAGGUGCAUGCCAAUCCUAAUUAUAACCAUAUCACAUAUAUGUGGAACUGCAUUAUACGAAUGGUGUUAUCAGGAUGAUAGAUUUCAGUCAUAGAACUGAACUGUUCCUUUUCUUGGUGUAUAUGUGUCAUAUACAGAAUUCAGAAAAAAAAAUUGGACACUACAAUUCAUAUAUUUACUAUUUAGAAUCGAGACAUCCAAUCAUGUUAGGAUAUGAUAUGGUCUUCUUCCAGGGGCUCUAAGUAUUAUGAAUGUGCAUAUCCUGAUACAUGUAAUUAUAAGGUGGUUACAAGCUAGCUGGACAUGUGUGGCAAAAUGCUUGCAUUUCAGUUUAUGUAGGAAGAGGAGCAUCAAUACCUACUUCUCCUGCCCUGUAUAUGUAACGUCUUUGUUCCAAGCAAUUAGUAUAUGGUAUUAGAGAUUCUUAUAUUCAUAUAUUUGUUUGAAACUUGGUGGAUUCCUACCAUCUCUAUAUAAUUACAACAAAACCAAUAGGUCAGAGCGAUGUGUCUCUUAGUGCCAUCGAUUGGGUACAUACGAAGCCUCUCAUCCCACAGGUUCAUUGUUUCUACCUCAAACCAAUCCUGCCUCCUAAAUUAUUGAUACAUGUGUUGCUUCAUUCAUUUAUUUUGAGAACACAUAUUAAACUGGUUUGAGGUAAUUUGUUUUUUUUUUUGUUUUUUGUUUUUUGAGAUCACAUAUUAAACUGAUAACACCAUCCCUUGGCCUCCUUGGUCGUAUCAAUAAUUGUACCUGAACAGUGACAAAUCUCAAGCGACUGUUGUACCUGAACGGGUGUGGAACCAAAUAGUGGUACCGUGUUCUGAGAUCUGUUUUUUUGUGCUGCUAUCUGCAGGAAAAUUCCUAGGGAUUUGGUUGAUGGAGGCAUCGCUAUUUGUCGCUGGAUUAUCCAUUUUUGCAGCACCAGCAAAGUUGUUUUUGUUUGGAAUGGCCAGUUCUCAAUUUCUAAAUCAGCUAUACUAUACUUCUUGUCAGGUUACAUUAUCUUGCUUCGUUUCAGUCUAUAUGUAGCACAAAAAUACUAGGUGACAUGGUUGGUUUGUAUGUUACACUAAUGAACACCACCAUAAGGAAAAGGGCAUUGCACUUCUUUGUUAAUAUUUGGUCUGUUCCUAUUCGGUGACAUACUAUUCUGGUUGGUUAGCUUCACGCUCUAAAGCUAGGAUUUUAAUUCUUUGAGUGUAAGUAAUGUAUUGUUAUACCAGAUGAAAUAUAUGCAGACACUGCUAACAUGAUUUUUCUUAUAGGCGGAAGUAUAUUUUUUAAAUCCAUCUGUUCAAUUCUUAGGACCAUACUUUACUAGAAGUCCAGAACUAUGUGAUUUGGUAAUUGUGUCAAAGCUCGCCUGGUUGUGCCGUAUUGCAUUGUGAAUGCUAUGUUGUUGGGGAAUCAGCGAGCUUGGUUAUAUUUCUGUGGCUGUCAUGUUAACUGGUGGCCGUAGUGCUUCUUGCUAGCUACGAGUUCUUCUUGUGUGUUUGCUUAGUGGCUUAGUUAUGUGUGUGUGUGUGUGUCCGGGCACCUGUUGUGUUUUUUGCUUGCUUGUUGGUGCGUGCAUGAUUGUUGUGACUGGGCGCUGGUUGUUCGGUGCUGGGCUGCUGAUGGCAUGCUACCUGCUUCGAAAAAAGGAAUGAAAGGAAGCAUUUGUUCAUAGAACAAAUAUAUUGUAAAUUUUUCCAUCGAAAGCCUGCAUAUUUAGCAAGGAAAAGGAGUCUAUAGAGCCUUAGGUUCUUGUUAUAUGUUGAUUUUGCAAAAUUUCUGCAGCUAUAUAUUUGCUCAAUCCAAAAGACAAAUUGUACUCAACCUUCAGUAUAAUGUAUUUCUAAUUGUUCAUAACUGCUUAAUUUUUUGUUGUGAUUUUGCAAGAUAUUGAAAUUAUUGUAUUUCGAAAUUGUUACACUGAUUCCUCGAUGCUCUGUUCAUGGCUUUUUUAUUAUUUUAUCCUUCUUUGCUUUUUUCCUUUCCUACAAGAAGAUGUCGAGUCAUGUAAUAUGUUCAAAGAAGAGAGAAUCUGCAUUUUAUGAAUCCUUUCUUCUUUCUUCAUUGUUACUUCAAGUUAGUGAAUCAUUUAAGUUGUAUUGAGCAGCUUCAUGUGAUGGUUUCUUCGUCUACACAUCUUAUUCAGUCACGAGGCCAGUAAGAUCUUUUGCCUUUUAGGAAAAAGGGAGAUGCCAUUUAGACCUUACUCUUCCAACUUGAUCUUUAACUUGCUACUACUGUUUCUAAGCAUUUUUUAUUUGCUUCAGAGGAUGAGCUCACCUUAUUCAGUGGAUGUGCCAAGUAAAAAAAAUUAGAAACUGAGCAAUUAGUUCCACUCUUAUAUUUUGUACAGCAGUCCAAAUUAUCCAAUAAAUCAUUUGUUAGCAGGGUCAAAUUAUAGAAGUUGAAUCAGUUGUUCCAAAUUACCCAGUGAGACUUAUUCCAUUUGUUUAUCCUUUUGUCCUUUUAAUCAAGAACAAUGUUUAGAGCUUACAUGGUUGUCGAAAUUUAGUUAUGUAAAAGAGGAAUAUUGAUAUCAUGCAAUGAUCAGUGCAGAUUAGGAUAGUUAUAGAGUUCUUCCUCAGUUUUCAUUGAGCAAAGAUUGAAUCUGUAUGAUUUGUUCUAAUACCAAGUAAAUCUUGGUCUGCAUUGUGUUAGUUUUCCCACUGAGUUUUUUUGGCUAUUUUCGUUUAAAUUGGUAGUUGAUGUGAAAAAGUGUGUUGACAUGCAUGUAACCAAAUCAUGUAUUAAUGUGAGGUACUACAUAUACUUGCCUAUCUCUUUCCAGAAGAACAGCCCUCUUGAUCCAACUAGGAACAUCAAAACCAAAUGGGAUAUCAUUGAGUGGACUUCAGAUGGCCAUGCUGCCCUCUAGCUAUAGUCAUGGAAAAGAUGGUGUUCGGAGCUAUAUCUUGGAAAAUAUUUCUUGUCAUUCCAUUAAAUUUCGGAGAUAUGGAGGAGCUGGACAUGGAUGGCGAGAAGGCGGCCAGACCAGAGUUCGCCUACCCCUACUGCUAUGAGGACCAUGAGGUUGCCUCCUUGUGCGCGCAUGUAGAAGAGGAGCACCCAUUGGAGUGGAGAUAUAGUUUGCACAAUGUUCUGGUCCAGCAAAGUAUUUUAGAUGUGCAAAAGAGUAGUGUCUUGGGGUAGAAAAUUAAUAUUGAUCUUGAAACCUCGAGAUAGAAAAAAGAGCUUUUCACAUUUGUUGUUGUUGAGUCCUGACUAGCAAUUAUAUAACCCUCAGGCCUCAGUAGCAAUUAUGUUACCUUCUUAUUUGUUCUCAGGUUACUUGCCUUCUUCUUUCAACCCAUCUCUCUAAGAAUUAUAGUGCAGGUUUUGUAGGGCAGGUUAAAGAACCCAAUACAAUGCUCUUUGAGUCGAGUUUUUUUAUAUUCGCUGGCA